GUUGCAAAGCUGAAACUUAAAGGAAUUGACGGAAGGGCACCACCAGGAGUGGAGCCUGCGGCUUAAUUUGACUCAACACGGGAAAACUUACCUGGCCCGGACACUGGAAGGAUUGACAGAUUAAGAGCUCUUUCUUGAUUCAGUGGGUGGUGGUGCAUGGCCGUUCUUAGUUGGUGGAGCGAUUUGUCUGGUUAAUUCCGAUAACGAACGAGACUCUAGCCUACUAAAUAGGGGACCGAUCAAUUGUUGUCGGUCCGUCUUCUUAGAGGGACAAGCGGCUUUUAGCCGCACGAGACAGAGCAAUAACAGGUCUGUGAUGCCCUUAGAUGUCCGGGGCCGCACGCGCGCUACACUGAAGGAAGCAGCGUGCUCAUCGCUGUCCGGCAGGACUGCGUAACCCCUAUAACCUCCUUCGUGAUAGGGAUAGGGGCUUGUAAUUGUUCCCCUUGAACGAGGAAUUCCCAGUAAGCGCGAGUCAUAAGCUCGUGUUGAUUACGUCCCUGCCCUUUGUACACACCGCCCGUCGCUACUACCGAUUGAAUGAUUUAGUGAGGUCUUCGGACUGGCGCUCGGAGCGACCUUCGGGUUGCGCCGGCGUGCCGGAAAGAUGACCAAACUUGAUCAUUUAGAGGAAGUAAAAGUCGUAACAAGGUUUCC
rnacentral:rRNA from 1 species